rnacentral:SRP_RNA from 1 species
GCCGAGUUGAGUAGCGCCAGCUUGUGACCCAAGUGGGGGCAUCAAGGUGAUGGGACAUAGCUUUGGCUUAACAGGUUGGGCUGGGGGCUGCACUAUGCUGGCAUGCCCGCUCCAAGUUGAGAGUUGAGUCACGGGACUUGAGCGAAAGCACGGGUCUUGUGUCUCUUAGACAGGAGGGUACAGCGUGAGGCUGGUUUCACAGUGUAGCGAACACCUCCUCCUGACAGUGGAGGGAUCACAGGCCGCUGCACCUGGUGAGCCUAGCCACUUGAACCAUCAUUCUU